CUGGGCUCAAGUUAUCCUCCCACCUCAGCUUCCUUAGUUGCUGGGACUACAAGUGCAGGCCAUGCCUGGCUUCUAUGGAUUGUGGAUUUCUUAUUUCAUGAGCUGGACACAAUUUCUCAUGACAUUAUGCACCUGGCUCCAAUGCUGCUAUUAUUAUAAUGUACUCUUUAUGUAUGAUAUUUUCACAAUUAAACAAAAUCAUUUUUGAUAUUUUUGCUUGUGAUUAAAAUAGAACUUAUAUUGAU